rnacentral:ribozyme from 1 species
UGAGCGAACAGCUCCUCUGAGCAACACCAGCACAACUAGUACCGAGCAGCACUUGCAGC